AUGAACGCUGGCGGCGUGCUUCACACAUGCAAGUCGAACGGUGAAGGCGGAGCUUGCUCUGCUGGAUCAGUGGCGAACGGGUGAGUAACACGUGAGCAAUCUGCCCCUGACUCUGGGAUAAGCGCUGGAAACGGCGUCUAAUACUGGAUACGAGCUGCGAAGGCAUCUUCAGCAGCUGGAAAGAACUUCGGUCAGGGAUGAGCUCGCGGCCUAUCAGCUUGUUGGUGAGGUAACGGCUCACCAAGGCGUCGACGGGUAGCCGGCCUGAGAGGGUGACCGGCCACACUGGGACUGAGACACGGCCCAGACUCCUACGGGAGGCAGCAGUGGGGAAUAUUGCACAAUGGGCGAAAGCCUGAUGCAGCAACGCCGCGUGAGGGACGACGGCCUUCGGGUUGUAAACCUCUUUUAGCAGGGAAGAAGCGAAAGUGACGGUACCUGCAGAAAAAGCGCCGGCUAACUACGUG
rnacentral:rRNA from 1 species